rnacentral:rRNA from 1 species
AGAGUUGAUUAUGGCUCAGGAUGAACGCUAGCGAUAGGCCUAACACAUGCAAGUCGAGGGGCAGCACAUGAAGUAGCAAUACGGAUGGUGGCGACCGGCGCACGGGUGAGUAACGCGUAUGCAACCUGCCUACAACAGGGGAAUAACCCGUUGAAAGACGGACUAAUACCCCAUAACACAGGGAUCCCGCAUGGGAAUAUUUGUUAAAGAUUUAUCGGUUGUAGAUGGGCAUGCGUUCCAUUAGCUUGUUGGUGAGGUAACGGCUCACCAAGGCAACGAUGGAUAGGGGAACUGAGAGGUUUAUCCCCCACACUGGUACUGAGACACGGACCAGACUCCUACGGGAGGCAGCAGUGAGGAGUAUUGGUCAAUGGACGCAAGUCUGAACCAGCCACGUCGCGUGAAGGAAGACGGCCCUACGGGUUGUAAACUUCUUUUGUAAGGGAAUAAAGUGCAGUACGUGUACUGUUUUGCAUGUACCUUACGAAUAAGGAUCGGCUAACUCCGUGCCAGCAGCCGCGGUAAUACGGAGGAUCCGAGCGUUAUCCGGAUUUAUUGGGUUUAAAGGGUGCGCAGGCGGGAGAUUAAGUCGGCGGUGAAAUUUCGCAGCUCAACUGUAAAAGUGCCUUCGAAACUGGUUUUCUUGAGUGUGGAUGAAGUAGGCGGAAUUUGUGGUGUAGCGGUGAAAUGCAUAGAUAUCACGAGGAACUCCGAUUGCGCAGGCAGCUUACUAAACCAUAACUGACGCUCAGGCACGAAGGCGUGGGGAUCAAACAGGAUUAGAUACCCUGGUAGUC